rnacentral:rRNA from 1 species
UGAGGAAUAUUGGGCAAUGCCCGCAAGGGUGACCCAGCAACGCCGCGUGGAGGAUGAAUGUCGUAAGAUUGUAAACUCCUGUUAGAGGGGAAGAAUAGUACCGGUUGGACCGGUAUAUGACUGUACCCUCAGAGAAAGCCCCGGCUAACUACGUGCCAGCAGCCGCGGUAAUACGUAGGGGGCAAGCGUUGUCCGGAUUUACUGGGUUUAAAGGGUGCGUAGGUGGGUAUGUAAGUCAGUGGUGAAAUCCCCGAGCUUAACUUGGGAACUGCCAUUGAUACUAUAUAUCUUGAAUACCGUAGAGGUAAGCGGAAUAUGUCAUGUAGCGGUGAAAUGCUUAGAUAUGACAUGGAACACCAAUUGCGAAGGCAGCUUACUAUGCGGUGAUUGACACUGAGGCACGAAAGCGUGGGUAGCAAACA